UGAAUCAUAUGUGCGCCAAUUAUGUAUAGG
rnacentral:piRNA from 1 species